rnacentral:rRNA from 1 species
CCUACGGGCGGCUGCAGUAAGGAAUAUUGGUCAAUGGACGAAAGUCUGAACCAGCCAUGCCGCGUGGAGGAUGAAGGUCCUCUGGAUUGUAAACUUCUUUUAUAUGGGACGAAAAAAGGCCUUUCCAGGUCGUCUGACGGUACCAUAUGAAUAAGCACCGGCUAACUCCGUGCCAGCAGCCGCGGUACUACGGAGGGUGCAGGCGUUAUCGGGAUUAACUGGGUUGUAGGGGUGCUGGGGUGGGUGUGGUGAAAUCCCCGAGCUUAAUUUGGGAACUGCCAUUGAUACUAUCAGUCUUGAAUACCGUGGAGGUCAGCGGAAUAUGUCAUGUAGCGGUGAAAUGCUUAGAUAUGACAUAGAACACCAAUUGCGAAGGCAGCUGGCUACACGAGUAUUGACACUGAGGCACGAAAGCGUGGGGAUCAAACAGGAUUAGAUACCCGGGUAGUC